rnacentral:rRNA from 1 species
GAUGAACGCUGGCGGCGUGCCUAAUACAUGCAAGUCGAGCGAACGGACGAGAAGCUUGCUUCUCUGAUGUUAGCGGCGGACGGGUGAGUAACACGUGGAUAACCUACCUAUAAGACUGGGAUAACUUCGGGAAACCGUAGCUAAUACCGGAUAAUAUUUUGAACCGCAUGGUUCAAAAGUGAAAGACGGUCUUGCUGUCACUUAUAGAUGGAUCCGCGCUGCAUUAGCUAGUUGGUAAGGUAACGGCUUACCAAGGCAACGAUGCAUAGCCGACCUGAGAGAGUGAUCGGCCACACUAGAACUGAGACACGGUCCAGACUCCUACGGGAGGCAGCAGUAGGGAAUCUUCCGCAAUGGGCGAAAGCCUGACGGAGCUACGCCGCGUGAGUGAUGAAGGUCUUCGGAUCGUAAAACUCUGUUAUUAGGGAAGAACAUAUGUGUAAGUAACUGUGCACAUCUUGACGGUACCUAAUCAGAAAGCCACGGCUAACUACGUG